rnacentral:rRNA from 1 species
GCUCAUUACAACAGCUAUAAUGUAUAUGAAUUUACUGAUAAAUGGAUAUCUGUGGUAAAUCUAGAGCUAAUACAUGCAUAAAAACCUUUUUGUUUUAACAAAUUGGUUAAAUUAUCGUUUCAAAACUAACGGGUUCGCCCUGUUUUGUUAACUCAUGAUAAUUAAUGACCGUUCUUUAAUGAAUGGAUAUUCAUAUUUGGUAUCUGCCCUAUCAACUAUAUGACAGUCUAUUGUACGGUCAUGGUUGUGCCGGGUAACGGAGAAUUAGGGUUCGUCUCCGGAGAGAAUGCCUUAGAAACGGCUUUCACUUCCAAGGAAGGCAGCAGGCGCGAAAAUUACCCAUUCUCAGAACGAGGAGGUAGUGACGUGAAAUGACAAGCUUUAAUUCUUACGAAUUGAAGCAUUGGAAUGGUUGAAUUUUAAAAUCAUUCAAGAUUAUCAAUGAGAGGGCAAGUCUGGUGCCAGCAGCCGCGGUAAUUCCAGCUCUCAUACUACAUUGAACUGCUGUUGCGGUUAAAAAGUUCGUAGUUGCAAAUGUACAUAUAAAUGUGGUUUAUCAUUUUAUUAUGGUAUAACUGCAUUUUGUGUUAUUUAUAUUUUCUUUACGGAAAAUAUAAUGAUACCCUGAGUAAAGCAAAGUGCUCAGAACAAGCUAUUGCUUGUAUGUUUUUGCUGGGAAUAUCAAACGAAUACAUUAGUUGACGUUUGUUGGUUUAACAGCUAUGUAAUGAUUAAUAGGGAUAAACGGGGGCAAACGUAUCGCAGGGGGAGAGGUGAAAUUCGUUGAUCCUUGCGAGACGGCCUAUAGCGAAAGCAUUUGCCAAGAAUGUUUUCUUUAAUCAAGAACGAAAGUCAGAGGUUC